AUUUCCCUUAAGAAGCCUUCCUUCUCCCACUUCUGUGAGUUAGAAACCCUGCCUCUGUAUUCCCAUAGCCUGCUACAGACCUCCACGACAUCACAUGAAAGGUACCAGCUAAACAGAUGUGGGGUGAUUAACCAUCCACUCCAAGGAACACAUGUGGGAAGGUAUCCGUCAGUGGAGCAGGUUUGCAAAUACACGACACACGAGACUCGCCACUGGCCUUAAUGAAGCCUGCAUCAUUCGGUGCUGAAAGCAAAAGAUGACGAGCUCCAUGAGGGCCAAGGCUCUCCAUUCUUGUUCACCACUGCACACUCAGGAGCUCAUGGCAUGCUGGCUGUGCUAGUUCUGUUAAUUUUUCCUUCCCUAUAAAGAUAGGGCCUUUAUAGAGGUAAUCGCCUUAAAAUGAGGCUAUUAGAGUGGCCUUAAUCCAACAUCACUAGAGUUCUUAGAAGAAGGGGACAUUUGGACACAGAGACAUGGGGAGAACGCCAUAUGAAGACGAAGGCAGAGAUUCAUCUACAAACCAAGGAACUACAAAGACUGCCAGCAGCCCCCAGAAGCCAGGCGGCAGACAUGGAACAGAUUCUCCCUCACAGCUGUCAGGAGGAGCCAACCCUGCCUCCAGAAUUGUGAAGCACUAAGUUUCUGUUGUUUAGGCCUUCCAGUCUCUGCUACUUUAUUGCAACAACUCUAGCAAAUUAAUGCACAAAUGGCAGAAUGGUAUUUUUCAACUUUUAUGAGAAAAGUAAAGGCAGUUAUAGUAGAAGAGAGCAUCAUGAGUCGACUGUGCUCAGAUAGGGCUAUUUGCUUUUCCCCAACUAUGCUCCAUACUUUUUUCUUUUCAUAUGUUUUUUUUGAGUCGGGGUCUUGCUCUGCUGCCCAGGUUGGAGUGCAGUGUCAUGAUCAUAGCUCACUGUAACCUCGACCUUCUGAGCUUGAGUGAUCCUCCUGUCUCAGCCUCCCAAGUAGCUGAGACUGCAGGUGCAUGCCAACACAGCUGGCUAUUUAUUUGUUUUUAUUUUAUUGUAGAGACAGGGUCUCAUUGUGUUGCCCAGGCUGGCCUCAAACUUCUGGCCUUAAGUCAUCCUCCUGUCUUGGCCUCCCAAAGUGCUGGGACUAUGGGUGUGAACCCAUCGCACCCAGACAUUUUGUACUUCUUUAAUUUGGAGUGUCUUUCCUUUCCAUGCAUGCCUAUAGAAUUUAUGAUUAUCAUUUAGCCCAAAGAAGACUUUCGCAUAAAUUCUGCCGUAACCCUUGUUGGAAUAAAUGUAUUCCUCUAAGCUCCCUCUAGCUCUAUUUGUAUCUUUAUUAUAAAUAUUAAUAUAUCUUUCCUUGCAUUGCUGUUACAUGUAUGCACAUCUUAUCUUCUGGCAAUAAAUAAGCCUCGUCCCUUGGGGGAAGGGCUAACCUUUCCUCCUUCUGGUAUUGCUCAGGAUGCUGACCACAGCACCCUGCACAGAGAAGAGGUUUAAUAUUUAUUUUAUUACUUAAAUUGCAUAAGAGGGAUCUACCUACUUGUGAAAAAGGUUGCUGUGACCUGUGUUCCUUCUUCUGUGACAAGAAACUAAAAUGUACAUAUAUUCUCUUCUUGAUGUUCUUUCGAGUUUUAUCUCCUUCCUAGAUCUGGUUCACCAGAUUUCCUCCCCUCCUUUUUUUUCAUCAAUACAAAACUUCAAGUCGCAGUCUUGCCAAUAAUUCUUCUUUGACUAAUUUAUGAGUUAAAUAAAGAAAAAAUUCCUCACACACAUAUCAUGUCCAAGGUCAGCUCAACAUUGCUUUAUUCCACACCUCUCAAUGGGUGUAUGAUGCGGGCCCACUUUAACACUGUAUCAGUGGUUGAUUCCUACGUGCAGAUCUUUCUGCUCUUUUUGCCUGAAUUAUCUUCAAUGUUCUUUGUGCAAAAAUCACAGCCAGUAUAGUCUAUUUCCAAAAGAGCUGUAAAGAGGCAUUUCAGAAACUUCCCUAAACAAUAUUUCUUUAAAAUGCACCAAGCUGGAUAAAGCCGCUUUGUGACCUGCAUAAAAACUCCAACGGAUAAAUGUGUAUUACCUUCCCAAAGAACUACUUCUCCAAAGUUAUUCCAGCUCUUUCCAGUUGAAAUGUCAAACUUGACAUAAAAAUGAGAUGUUCUUGCAUCAAUUAAUAAACAAAUAAAUCUGUGUUUCCCAUUGCCCUUUUCAUUCAGUGCGUUUAAUGAUUUGGUUGAAGUUACUGGUUACCUGUCUGUUUCCUCCAUUAUAUUUUAUUCCUCAGGAAUAGAAUCUACAUUCUAUUUGCCUUUAUGUCUCCAAAACCCGACACAGAGUGGGUGUUCAAGUAACUUUACUGAUAUCAGUAAUUUGCAUAGGUAAACAAUUCUGAAUAGAGUGAAUCAAACACAAACUUCAAGUAGAUUCAGCAAUUCUUACAGGAUGGCAUUAUCACUUUAAUGAUAUUUCUCAAUUUGUGUUACAAUUUGAUUAAACAAUUUUUACCCUAAAGCUUUGAGAACAGGUUUUCUGACAAUUGUAUAAUUUGAUUUUAAUGCUUAUGUCAGAGGGCAUAUGUCUUGGGGAAAGGAUAAAAGAAAAUAACAGAUUGCUAGGUGACAGUCAUCAACUGUUUGCCUUCAUGAAUUUCUUGAUUUGUAUGGUAGUCAUUUCCCACGCUUCUCCUCAAAACAAAAUAAAAUCAGAAUAAUAAC
rnacentral:lncRNA from 1 species